GGGGAAUUUUGGACAAUGGGGGCAACCCUGAUCCAGCAAUGCCGCGUGUGUGAAGAAGGCCUUCGGGUUGUAAAGCACUUUUGGCGGGAGCGAAAGGGCCUGGGCUAAUACCCCGGGUUGAUGACGGUACCCGCAGAAUAAGCACCGGCUAACUACGUGCCAGCAGCCGCGGUAAUACGUAGGGUGCAAGCGUUAAUCGGAAUUACUGGGCGUAAAGCGAGCGCAGGCGGUUGUGUAAGACAGAUGUGAAAUCCCCGGGCUCAACCUGGGAACUGCAUUUGUGACUGCACGGCUAGAGUGCGUCAGAGGGGGGUGGAACUCCACGUGUAGCAGUGAAAUGCGUAGAGAUGUGGAAGAACACCGAUGGCGAAGGCAGCCCCCUGGGAUGACACUGACGCUCAUGCUCGAAAGCGUGGGGAGCAAAC
rnacentral:rRNA from 1 species